GGAGAGGUGACAGAGUGGUCGAUUGUGGCGGUUUCGAAAACCGUUGUGCCUUUUGGGUACCGUGGGUUCGAAUCCCACCCUCUCCGCCA
rnacentral:tRNA from 1 species